rfam:Myotis brandtii contig268303, whole genome shotgun sequence.
GGCCUUCCUCUGUGGGGUGAUCAAUCACAGGGCCCCCAGAUUGAUCACCCCACAGAGGGAGGCC